GGAUGCACCUAUACUGGAACCAACAUGAUGGGGUAGAAAAUGGGAUAUCAAUCUAAGUGGAUCUGAUUGUGGGGAAAACUCCAUAGUUAAGCGUGCUUGGGCCAGAGGAGUCUUGGGAUGGGUGACCUCCUAGGAAGUCUUGGCUACCAGGUGCAAGCC
rfam:Picea glauca, whole genome shotgun sequence.